rnacentral:rRNA from 1 species
AGCGAACGCUGGCGGCAGGCCUAACACAUGCAAGUCGAACGGACCCUUCGGGGUUAGUGGCGGACGGGUGAGUAACACGUGGGAACGUGCCUUUAGGUUCGGAAUAGCUCCUGGAAACGGGUGGUAAUGCCGAAUGUGCCCUUCGGGGGAAAGAUUCAUCGCCUCUAGAGCGGCCCGCGUCUGAUUAGCUAGUUGGUGAGGUAAUGGCUCACCAAGGCGACGAUCAGUAGCUGGUCUGAGAGGAUGACCAGCCACAUUGGGACUGAGACACGGCCCAAACUCCUACGGGAGGCAGCAGUGGGGAAUCUUGCGCAAUGGGCGAAAGCCUGACGCAGCCAUGCCGCGUGGAUGAUGAAGGUCUUAGGAUUGUAAAAUCCUUUCACCGGUGAAGAUAAUGACUGUAGCCGGAGAAGAAGCCCCGGCUAACUUCGUGCCAGCCGCCGCCGUAAGAC